UUGUGCAUCACCGCGUGCGUCCCCCCUUCCUCGGAGGGGGGUGCUCACGUUUUUAAACAUCAAACACCCUAGUGUAGAAUGUUCUUUGCGCGAUCACGCGCGAAUCAAUACAACUUUCAACAACGGAUCUCUUGGCUCUCGCAUCGAUGAAGAACGCAGCGAAAUGCGAUACGUAAUGUGAAUUGCAGAAUUCAGUGAAUCAUCGAAUCUUUGAACGCACCUUGCGCCCCUUGGCAUUCCGAGGGGCACACCCGUUUGAGUGUCGUGAACAUCCUCAACCUGCUUCGUUCUAUCGAACCAAGUAGGCUUGGAAUUUGGAGGUUUUUUCUGCUGGCUUCUUCCUCUGAAGCCAGCUCCUCUUAAAAUUAUCAGUGGGAUCCGCUUUGCUAGAUCCUCGACGUUGAUAAGAUGUUUCUACGCUUGGGUUUCGCUCGGGAAGGACCUGCUUCUAACCGUCCCCAUCGGGGACAAUGUUCGAAGCCGAUCGCCCUUCACGGGGUGGGAAGCUUUUCGACCCAUGA
rnacentral:rRNA from 1 species